rnacentral:rRNA from 1 species
AUGGAGGCCCAAGCAGCCGCUCCCUCGCCAUCCCUCGUCGUCCUGACCAGCAGCAGGGAACCAGGAGCUCAAGCCCUGCCAUGUCCACCACCCGUUCGUCGCCUCCGCCGCCGGAACCGCGCCGCCGGCCCCUCGUCGGAUUUGCGCCAAGCUCCCCUGCAUCGCGCGAGUCGCGAUCCCCUGCCUCCUCGCCGCUCCGCGUGGACCAGCUCGCCAGGUCCCUUGCACCAGCGCCGUGACUUCCUCCUAUGCUUGCGAGCCCUGCUUUGCUAUUGCGCCUCCAUGGCCUCACUGCCUUCGCCGCACACCAGUAGCGCUUCCACCUCCGUCGACCUCCUGUUGCUGCAGGACCCUCCUCAUCGUGCACCGUCGCAGUUCGGUUUCUUCUCUCUCAAGGUCGAAGGACGCCAGGUACCAAGACGUCGAAGACCCGGCAAGUUUAUCUACGGGCAUGUAAGGCUACCUUCACCAAAGACAUGUGUACGCUUACACAACGAACCUUGGAGUUACGCGAGAGACCAAGUACUCCGAUGA